rnacentral:rRNA from 1 species
UACGUAGGGUGCGAGCGUUGUCCGGAAUUAUUGGGCGUAAAGGGCUUGUAGGCGGUUUGUCGCGCCUGCUGUGAAAUCCCAUGGCUCAACUGUGGGCUUGCAGCCGAUACGGGCGGGCUAGAGUUCGGUAGGGGAGACUGGAAUUCCUGGUGUAGCGGUGAAAUGCGCAGAUAUCAGGAGGAACACCGGUGGCGAAGGCGGGUCUCUGGGCCGAUACUGACGCUGAGGAGCGAAAGCGUGGGGAGCGAACAGG